ACCAAGGAGUCUAACAUGUGCGCGAGCCGCGGGGCAGUACGAAACCCGUAAGGCGAAAUGAAGGUGAACGCCGGCGCGGUCCGGCGGAGGUUGGAUCCCGUCCCGUCGGGGCGGGCGCACUACCGGCCGAUCUUCUCCGCCCUGUCGGCGAGGUCGAGCGAGAGCGUGCAAGUCGGGACCCGAAAGAUGGUGAACUAUGCCUGAGGAGGUUGAAGCCAGAGGAAACUCUGGUGGAGGACCGUAGCGAUUCUGACGUGCAAAUCGAUCGUCAAAUUUGGGUAUAGGGGCGAAAGACUAAUCGAACCGUCUAGUAGCUGGUUCCCUUCGAAGUUUCCCUCAGGAUAGCUGGCGCUCUGUCGCAGUUUUAUCUGGUAAAGCGAAUGAUUGGAGGUCUUGGGGGCGAAACGCCCU
rnacentral:ncRNA from 1 species